rnacentral:rRNA from 1 species
AGUGAACGCUGGCGGUAGGCCUAACACAUGCAAGUCGAACGGCAGCACAGUAAGAGCUUGCUCUUACGGGUGGCGAGUGGCGGACGGGUGAGGAAUACAUCGGAAUCUACUUUUUCGUGGGGGAUAACGUAGGGAAACUUACGCUAAUACCGCAUACGACCUACGGGUGAAAGCAGGGGAUCUUCGGACCUUGCGCGAUUGAAUGAGCCGAUGUCGGAUUAGCUAGUUGGCGGGGUAAAGGCCCACCAAGGCGACGAUCCGUAGCUGGUCUGAGAGGAUGAUCAGCCACACUGGAACUGAGACACGGUCCAGACUCCUACGGGACGCAGCAGUGGGGAAUAUUGGACAAUGGGCGCAAGCCUGAUCCAGCCAUACCGCGUGUGUGAAGAAGGCCUUCGGGUUGUAAAGCCCUUUUGUUGGGAAAGAAAAGCAGCAGGUUAAUACCCCGCUGUUCUGACGGUACUCAAAGAAUAAGCACCGGCUAACUUCGUG